CCAUGAAUUUUCAGCAAGAUUUCGAUCUGUACCAAGGCGAAAUGCUUGGAGUGGUCUAAUUCCAAGUGAGUAUACUUUCAUGGUGGAGUAUGAUAGUUCUCUGAACUAUGAUUGUCGGUAUAGACAAUGGCAGCAAAGAAUUGUCAGUGUUAACUAUGGAAGCUGGAGAUGUGUGACUAUUUCAAUCAAGGUGGAGAUUGUCACAUAUCUUCAGC